UUCCGGUUGAUCCUGCCGGAGGUUACUGCUAUCGGUGUUCGCCUAAGCCAUGCGAGUCAUAUGUAGCAAUACAUGGCGUACUGCUCAGUAACACGUGGAUAACCUGCCCUUGGGUCCGGCAUAACCCCGGGAAACUGGGGAUAAUUCCGGAUAACGCACAUAUGCUGGAAUGCUUUAUGCGUCAAAUGGAUUCGUCUGCCCAAGGAUGGGUCUGCGGCCUAUCAGGUAGUAGUGGGCGUAAUGUACCUACUAGCCGACAACGGGUACGGGUUGUGAGAGCAAGAGCCCGGAGAUGGAUUCUGAGACAUGAAUCCAGGCCCUACGGGGCGCAGCAGGCGCGAAAACUUUACAAUGCGGGAAACCGUGAUAAGGGGACACCGAGUGUCAGCAUCAUAUGCUGGCUGUCCAGGUGUGUAAAAUACACCYGUUAGCAAGGGCCGGGCAAGACCGGUGCCAGCCGCCGCGGUAACACCGGCGGCCCGAGUGGUGAUCGUGAUUAUUGGGUCUAAAGGGUCCGUAGCCGGUUUGGUCAGUCCUCCGGGAAAUCUGAUAGCUCAACUAUUAGGCUAUCGGGGGAUACUGCCAGGCUUGGAACCGGGAGAGGUAAGAGGUACUACAGGGGUAGGAGUGAAAUCUUGUAAUCCCUGUGGGACCACCUGUGGCGAAGGCGUCUUACCAGAACGGGUUCGACGGUGAGGGACGAAAGCUGGGGGCACGAACCGGAUUAGAUACCCGGGUAGUCCCAGCCGUAAACGAUGCUCGCUAGGUGUCAGCAUGGCGCGACCGUGUCUGGUGCCGCAGGGAAGCCGUGAAGCGAGCCACCUGGGAAGUACGGCCGCAGGCUGAACUUAAAGGAAUUGGCGGGGGAGCAC
rnacentral:rRNA from 1 species